GGAUACUACCAUUUAUCUAUAUAAAUCUAAUCUCCAACUAGUGAAGUUUGAAUAGGAAAUAAAGUUGGAGCAAUCUGUUUAAUAGCGGUAUCUUUCAUACUCAACAAUCUCCAGUAGCAUAUCAGUUGCAUAUCCUUUAUACUCAACAAUCUACAGUUUGCAUAUCAGUCGGCUGCAACACUUGUAUCACAUUAAUCGAUUCUACACCUUUUGUCGCUCGAGUUGUUCCUCAUUAACAAAAAAG
rnacentral:misc_RNA from 1 species